rnacentral:tRNA from 2 species
GGGACCGUAGUUCAGCUGGUUAGAACGCCGGCCUGUCACGCCGGAAGUCGCGAGUUCGAAUCUCGUCGGUCCCG